rnacentral:rRNA from 1 species
UACGGAGGGGGCGAGCGUUAUUCGGAAUUAUUGGGCGUAAAGGGCGCGUAGGCGGCUCUUUAAGUCAAAGGUGAAAUCCCUCGGCUCAACUGAGGAACUGCCUUUGAAACUGAGGAGCUUGAGUCCGGGAGGGGGUAGCGGAAUUCCCAGUGUAGCGGUGAAAUGCGUAGAUAUUGGGAGGAACACCAGUGGCGAAGGCGGCUACCUGGACCGGAACUGACGCUGAUGCGCGAAAGCGUGGGUAGCAAACAGGA